AGCGUCGGCCGGGAGUCGAACCCGGGUCAAGUGUUUGGGAAACAGUUAUUCUGACCGUUUAACUAACGACGG
rnacentral:tRNA from 13 species